rnacentral:lncRNA from 1 species
CCCAAGAACAAGACUCCUUCGAUAACCUUGUUGAUGAGUUCUACACCUUCGAACUCGGUGUGAUCAAAUCAACUAUUUGACCUGGACUUGACCAUCCCAUGACUUGGACUAGGUCUCUCCUUGACUUGACUUGUACUUAGACACCUAACCCUCUUUUUCUUUCUCUAAUUUUCUCCUAAUUCUCUUCCUAAACUCUUGUCUUAAAGUGGGGCAGACUUGUCUUAAUUUCAACAUGAUGUCUUAACAAGAUAAGGAAGGGAACC